UACGAAGGGGGGCUAGCGUUGCUCGGAAUGACUGGGCGUAAAGGGCGCGUAGGCGGAUGGCACAGUCAGAUGUGAAAUUCCCGGGCUUAACCUGGGGGCUGCAUUUGAUACGUGUUGUCUUGAGUUCGGAAGAGGGUCGUGGAAUUCCCAGUGUAGAGGUGAAAUUCGUAGAUAUUCGCAAGAACACCAGUGGCGAAGGCGGCUCACUGGCCCGGUACUGACGCUGAGGUGCGAAAGCGUGGGGAGCAACAG
rnacentral:rRNA from 1 species